rnacentral:tRNA from 1 species
UGCCUCCAGAGAGGAUCGAACUCUCGACCCCUGGUUUACAAGACCAGUGCUCUGCCACUGAGCUAUAGAGGC